UGUUUCGGCUAGGGGGCCAUCCCGGCUUACCAACCCGAUGCAAACUGCGAAUACCGGAGAAUGUUAUCACGGGAGACACACGGCGGGUGCUAACGUCCGUCGUGAAGAGGGAAACAACCCAGACCGCCAGCUAAGGUCCCAAAGUCAUGGUUAAGUGGGAAACGAUGUGGGAAGGCCCAGACAGCCAGGAUGUUGGCUUAGAAGCAGCCAUCAUUUAAAGAAAGCGUAAUAGCUCACUGGUCGAGUCGGCCUGCGCGGAAGAUGUAACGGGGCUAAACCAUGCACCGAAGCUGCGGCAGCGACGCUUAUGCGUUGUUGGGUA
rnacentral:rRNA from 1 species